UUUGGAAAUCAUAGGAAAUAGAUACUGAUAAGAAUCAUAUAGUUCAGAAAGACAUGAUUUCAGAAAGUCAGCUGGUAAAGAUAAGUAUUUCCAUGGCUGAGCAGCAAGAAUCUUUUGUAAAGUGUUGAACAGAUUGACAGGAACCCAAAAACAGAAGUUGCAGUUCUGCUGACCUGGGGCCUGUGCAGUUGCUCUCCAGUGUUCCAGCAGAUGCUUCCCCGGGCUUACUGUUCACUAAGCCUCUACGGGACUCAUGCGCACCUUGAACUAUGUCCCAUCUCAUUCCGCUUCCUCUGCAAUGGCUUUGGGCAACUGGUUUUACUGCACGUGACAGUUGUUCCCAUGACUACGGGACUGCAAUUGUAGGAGAAUACUUGUCUGAUUGUUGCAUCCUGUUAAAGCUCCUUGGUGCUUUUAUCUUAUGAACUGUAAAAGCUCUCUAUUUUUUAAUCCCAUUUCCUGUCAAAGCUAGGGCCACACUAGCUGAAUUGCUCUCGAGACUGGCUGCACUUUGGAUAGCCAGCUUCUUCCUCACCAAAUUCAAGUGUUUCAAGACUUAACUUGUCACGAAGACCUGGGACUUUGGUGGGAUUGAACCCAGGGCCGUCUACGUGCUAGGCAAAUGCUGUACCACUGAGAUACAGAUCCCAGCUCUUUAUAUUGUAUCUGGAGGCAAAAUCUCACUGAGUUGACCUUGAACUGUGAUUCUCCUGCCUCAGCCUCCCAGGUCUCUGGGAUUACAGGCGUGUACCACCGCACCCAGCUCUAUGUGUCUGUGUAAAGGCACCUUCUUCAGUAUAUACUGUUGAGUCAUUAACAUCCAACUUAUGGCCAAAAGUAGAGGAAUUCAUGCCUGAACGAAGCUUCUCCAGUGUGUGUUUUCUUUGUAAGGCACAUGGCAGCUACUUGGCUUAGCAUUUCUGUAUGACACUUGGGAACCAUCAAAAGGCACAGUAACAGAAGAAAAAGAGGUGACCCUAAAUCAACCAUGGGGACUUUGUAAAGUGUAUGACCGGAAACUGGAAAUAGAGUAUCGCUUUUCGUUUGGCCUUGGCUGGGGAUACGUAUGUCUGGAGACUCAUAAUUUGCGCUGCUCUGCAAAUAAAGAGGAAUGACCACGAAAACACCAAGAAUUUUGAUUUGGAGAUUACAAAUAAAUCUUAACUAGUAAGCAAGUUUGCAAAUAUAGAAUCCACAAAUCAGGAGAAUUGACUGUACCUUACCAUCAACUGAACUAGAACACUGUCCCAGGAGAGGCAAAUCUGCAGAAGGAUUCAUGCAGAGGUUUCUAGAGCAGGCGAUGCCUUCAACCAGGGUUUGAUUGACUUUCUCUGACGAGGGCCAGAGCGAGAAUAUUUUAGGCUUUGCCAGCCACACAGUCUCUGUGGCAGCUAUUCAACUCUGCUUUUGUAGCACAAAAGUAGCCAUGGAUGAUGCAGAACAAAUGGGCAUGGCUCUGUGCCAAUAAAACUUUAUGUUUGCAUACUGAC